AGCGACCCCAGGUCAGGCGGGGAUACCCGCUGAGUUUAAGCAUAUCAAUAA
rnacentral:rRNA from 1 species